GGCAGCAAUUUUUUUUGAGCUGGGUGGGGACAAGCCUGGGGCUGGGCUUUAGAAAUCCUGGUAGAUGUUGGAAUUUGGGAGUUGAAGGGAAACAGGACUGGAGUAGAACAGGGUACUGAGGGAAGGCAACACGAGCUUCAACUGGGAUGCUGGCAGUUGGGAAUACCAGCCUGGCAUAGAUUGGGAGAUGCUGCAGAGGUAGUUUAAGAAGAGUUAGCAACUGACUUAUCAGAAGUGAUGGAAAAAGUACACAUUGGGUAUCACUCCAAGUGGUGAUCUUCCCAGAACUCAGAAUCCAGAAGAACAGGUUUAGAGAUGCUGAUGAGUUAGACUUGGGAAAAGCUGAGGUGUGAGAGCAAACUGUUGAUAGCUUUGCUGUAAAAAGCAUGAAUGGGAAACUCCCUUGAAAAAACACUAAGAAGUAAGAAAUACUUAUACAAUGAGUGCUUUCACUAAGAAGUAAGAAAUACUUAUACAAUGAGUGCUUUUGUAGCCCUCGCCACAAAAAGAUAACUCUUGAUAAGGUGUGAUUUUAAUGCUAUGCAAAGUUCGAGCAGUAUCUGACUUGUUCAUCAAUCAAUAGUGGGUCUUCUCUGAUUCAAGACAAGGAACAAGAAAACAAACUGAGAAAACGUCCCUCAAACAGAAGAUGGGUCUUGACCUCUACUGUGAGAAACAGAAGUGUUUUCAGAUUAGCCUGGAGGAAGUUGUCAACUUGUUAUUAAGAAGAAAUAAAAAAUUUAAUA